AAUCAACGCUGGCGGCGUGCCUCAGACAUGCAAGUCGAACGAUUAAGACUCUCUUCGGAGAGUGCAUAAAGUGGCGCACGGGUGAGUAACACGUAAGUAAUCUACCCUCGAGUGGGGAAUAACGUCCGGAAACGGACGCUAAUACCGCAUAAUGCAGCGGCACCGCAAGGUGACAGUUGUUAAAGAUUUAUCGCUUGAGGAGGAGCUUGCGGCAGAUUAGCUAGUUGGUAAGGUAAUGGCUUACCAAGGCUACGAUCUGUAACCGGUCUAAGAGGACGGUCGGUCACACUGACACUGAAUAACGGGUCAGACUCCUACGGGAGGCAGCAGUCGGGAAUUUUGGGCAAUGGGCGAAAGCCUGACCCAGCAACGCCGCGUGAAGGAUGAAGUAUUUCGGUAUGUAAACUUCGAAAGAAUAGGAAGAAUAAAUGACGGUACUAUUUAUAAGGUCCGGCUAACUACGUGCCAGCCGCCGCUGUAAG
rnacentral:rRNA from 1 species